GUGGGGAAUAUUGGACAAUGGGCGAAAGCCUGAUCCAGCCAUGCCGCGUGUGUGAAGAAGGUCUUCGGAUUGUAAAGCACUUUAAGUUGGGAGGAAGGGCAGUAAGUUAAUACCUUGCUGUUUUGACGUUACCGACAGAAUAAGCACCGGCUAACUUCGUGCCAGCAGCCGCGGUAAUACGAAGGGUGCAAGCGUUAAUCGGAAUUACUGGGCGUAAAGCGCGCGUAGGUGGUUCAGCAAGUUGGAGGUGAAAUCCCCGGGCUCAACCUGGGAACUGCCUCCAAAACUGGAUGACUAGAGUACGGUAGAGGGUAGUGGAAUUUCCAGGGUAGCGGUGAAAUGCGUAGAUAUAGGAAGGAACACCAGUGGCGAAGGCGACUACCUGGACUGAUACUGACACUGAGGUGCGAAAGCGUGGGGAGCAAACAGGAUUAGAUACCCUUGUAGUCC
rnacentral:rRNA from 1 species